UUCGGCCUUAGUGGCGCACGGGUGAGUAACGCGUGGGAACCGGCCCUUGAGUGGGGGAUAACCUCGGGAAACUGAGGCUAAUACCGCAUAUGCCCUGAGGGGCAAAGACGCAAGUCGCUUGAGGAAGGGCCCGCGCCCGAUUAGGUAGUUGGUGUGGUAAAGGCGCACCAAGCCGACGAUCGGUAGCUGGUCUGAGAGGAUGAUCAGCCACACUGGGACUGAGACACGGCCCAGACUCCUACGGGAGGCAGCAGUGGGGAAUAUUGGACAAUGGGCGCAAGCCUGAUCCAGCCAUGCCGCGUGAGUGAGGAAGGCCUUCGGGUUGUAAAGCUCUUUCAGCGGGGACGAUGAUGACGGUACCCGCAGAAGAAGCCCCGGCUAACUUCGUGCCAGCAGCCGCGGUAAUACGAAGGGGGCUAGCGUUGU
rnacentral:rRNA from 1 species